AAAAUAAACUAAUCUGUACACAGACUACAGCAUCAGCUGCUCUAUCAAGUUCCACACUAAAAUGCCAACACUGAAAGUUUUCUGACAACCAGCUGAGUGUGAAGUUGUUUUGUUUUUAUUUUAAAACAGGAAGAAAAGACUAGAGUGCCUUUUAAGGGGAUAAACAAUUGCUCUCUAGUAGCCUCAUCCCUCUAUUAUUCAUAUUCAAAACAACAAUAACAAAAAAAAAUAUUUCUAUAAACUCGCUAACUUAUCUACUUUGAUCUUGUUUAGUGGGUUGUGGCAUAAAGAACCAGUCUGAUCUCAUUACUCAAAUCUCUGAGAGCCUGAUGUUCGGUCACAUCUGUCUGCACUCUAACAUCCGGUCAUUCAUUCAGCCAAAAUAUUAAAAAUUACAUUAGACUCUUUUUCCGCUUACCUUGUUUCUAUAAACUCGCUAACUUAUCUACUUUGAUCUUGUUUAGUGGGUUGUGGCAUAAAGAACCAGUCUGAUCUCAUUACUCAAAUCUCUGAGAGCCUGAUGUUCGGUCACAUCUGUCUGCACUCUAACAUCCGGUCAUUCAUUCAGCCAAAAUAUUAAAAAUUACAUUAGACUCUUUUUCCGCUUACCUUGAUUAGUUAUAGCACCGACCGCCCGUCUAAACUUUUUGUUAAUGUAACUGCAAUUCGCCUCAAAAUAGCAGCCUGAACGAACUGUUCUGGACGAAUCCAUACAACCUGAUGCGUGUAUUUACGGAAGUACGGUUCACAACGCUCCUUUGUAGUUUUUUGAGAUGUGACUUUCAAUGACGCCAAAGCGAUGUUUUGAAGCACAGAACUACAUUUCCCAACAGAACGCAUGUGCUUCGGACAGGGAUGGAUGUAUAAAAUGGUUAAUAAUUAGAUUAUUUAAUUAUUUCUCUCUUUUACUAUGCCAUGCAAUAAACGUGUAAAUAUAUGUUGUUACAUAUUCAAAAGUAUAAUGGUACAAAAGUCAACGGGGCAGGUUUUUUUCUACUAUCGGUGCACAAAGGACACUAGGUGGCAGCAAAGGCAUCGUUUCUUAGCGCCUGAAUGGACGACACAGCAGCGGCUAAAUGGACGAAAGCCUUUCUUCUAUUAAAACACCAGGCAGAAUGAAGACCUCCCACUUUCCAAGUCAGUCAUGAAGAUGGGGAUACAGCGGACCAAGCACAGGUCAAAUUAAAUAUCUUAUAUAAUUCCUUCUGAAUGACAGCGCCAUCUGUCCAUCCGGUGUUAUGGCCCUGACCCCUAUUAGCCUACACUCUCACCAUGCUGCCAUUUUCACCUUGAUAGGUUCGAGAUGGGAUUUAAAAUGGUCUUUUUUUGAUGCAACGGCUUGAACUUUGUCUAUAGCUGUGGCUUAUAUAUUCUUACGAGGCAAAAUUUAUGUAGUAGCAUUGUUUUUGUUAUAUGCAGUAUGAUAAAACUAAUAGUUCUAGCUCUAAAUUCUGACGGGAUGAGCUGCGUUUAGAGCUGAUAUGUGCAUUUGUGAUCAACCAGGAAUAUUAUAGUUAAGUAAAACUGAAAGCAAAUCGAUUAAAAAAUAAAUAAAUAAAUAAAUAAAUAAAUAAAUACAAAAUUGGAUAUGGAAAUAUGGAAGACUGCUUUUUCGCCACAAGAUUAAAAAAAAAACAUAAAAGGUAAUUGCGGUAAUUUUUAUCUCUCAAUUCAAAUGUUUUCUCUGGCAAUUCUCAGUUUAUGUCUCACAAUUUUUUUUUCUUGCAAUUCUGUUGGUAGACAGAAUUGUGAUAUGUUAACUGUGAACUGCAAAAAAAAAUAUAUAUAUAUUUGUAAGAAACAAAGUCACAAUUAUCUUUUUUAUUUUUUAUCCUGUGGCAGAAAUGGGCUUCCAUAGUAGUAACUAAAACUGAAAUAAAAAUGAUUAAAAACACUAAAAAAUAUGAAUAAAAAUUACAAAACACACAGCAAAAUAAUUAGAACUUUAACUAAAAUUAAAAGGAAAAAUACAAAAAUAGAAAUUAAAAAUAUUACUAAAAACUAUAAUAUUAUCUAAAUGAUAUUAAAUUGGUUGAAGCAUAACCACACUUUGGUUUAAUUUUAUGUUAAUGUGGAUGUUGAUUCGGAACCACAGACAGCCUACAAUUGGGCUAAAAUCAUAUUGCUGCAGUUUUCUAAAGCAGAAACACUAGAUUUGAUCUGCAGGUUCUGUUUAGAUUGUUUGAUUUAAUGUUUUUUUUCAUUAUAAUCAUUUAAAUUAGUUAAAUGAUUUAUGAAACAUGUAUGUAUUUAAUCUUAUUGCUGCUGCCUGCUGUUUUAUAUACCAAAAUUGAAUGGAUCUUUAGGUUCUGUUUAGAUUGUUUGAUUUAAU
rnacentral:lncRNA from 1 species